CAGUCUUGUAUAGUUUAACCUUCGGUAGUCUACACAGAAGCGGGUCGUACCAUCCUGGUUCGGUACCAGGACUACUGGGGAGGGCCAAGGGCUGUCAGAUGACUCGACCCCCAGUCGGGGCAUCUCUUGGAUCUCCUUUCACAUAUUCAGGGAUUUGGUACAGAGGUUGGUGUAGUGGUAGCUGAUCUGAGGUCUCUACGCGAUGCCAAAGAAGUAUACCUGGGUACGUUGGAGAAGGUGGCCCUUUUAAACUCAAGUAAUUGUUGUACCUGGGCACGCUCCUGAAGAUUCAGCCGCUACCCCAUCUUGACCUCAUCUAAAUUGUCAAUUGACUCCCGUCCCUUAGGUCAGGUAUGGGAAGGUUUUCACAAUUUUUAAAGGUAGGGGCGCAGAUCCCCACCACUAACUCCGAUCUUUCAUGGAAGGUAGGGUUUCAGCAUAUUUACAUGGCGCAUGCAUCGCCCUUCUGCUCCAGAGCAAGGGCCGAUCACAUAGGUGGUAUCACAUUUCUGUUCUACUACCUGUUAUGGGCCCUGCCAGGCCCCCUGCAGCUUAUCAUUGCGGACAGGUUUCAAAAUUAAAACUUUCUAUCCUACUUGAAAGCUGCGGUCCCAGGCUCCCCUAUCGUACCAUGUGCAGUGGUGACUCUGGGCCGCCUGGAGAUUCGUUUGCACGGCUCUGGUUAUCUCCUCCAGGCAGUCACGGGACUACAGGGGUCCCCUCCGGCUAACAUCCCCUUCCAAGUGUUACCUGAUGAAGUCUAAGGGCCCCCUCACCCACCUACCAAAUAGCC